rnacentral:rRNA from 1 species
GCCAAAAAUCUAGCCCCAAAUUGCCCCCGGCCCCGAUACAUAGUACCCACUAAUUAAAACAUUCAUCAAGUUUAGUAAAGGCGAUUGAAAAACUAACCGGCGCGAUAUACCCAGUACCGUAAGGGAAAGAUGAAAUAAAAAUGAAAAACUUCAAGCACAAAAAAGCAGAGAUUCUACCUCGUACCUUUUGCAUCAUGGUUUAACUAGUCCAAUCAAGCAAAAAGGCUUAAAGUUUGACUCCCCGAAACUAAGCGAGCUACUUCAAGGCAGCCUAACGGGCGACCCCGUCUCUGUUGCAAAAGAGUGGAAAGACCUUCAAGUAGAGGUGACACGCCUAUCGAGCUUAGUGAUAGCUGGUUACUCAAGAAACGGAUUUUAGUCCAACCUAAAGUUAACUCAAUAUGAUAAAAAUUCUCUCUGUAACUUUAGAGCAAUUCAAAUAAGGUACAGCCUAUUUGAAACAGGAUACAACCUCAACUAAUGGGUUCUGCGCCUAGUGUGUCCUAACUAAGUGGGCCUGAGAGCAGCCACCUUUCGAAAAGCGUCAAAGCUUAAUUACGUUUCUACCCUAAUCCCCCAACCCCCACCCAACCCUUUUACAGUAAUGAGUAAUUCUAUACCCCUAUAGAACUUUUUAUGUUAAAACUAGUAACAAGAAGAUGAACCUUCUCUUAAAUGCAAACGUAAACCAGAAAGGACACACCGCUGGUAAUUAACACCCAUGAGCUGCUAAUAGAAACGUCAUGAAAAACUCCUAUUAACCAAUAUGUUAACCUGACACAAGAGCAUUAAAAGAAAGAUUAAAAGGAAAAGAAGGAACUCGGCAAAUAUUAACCUCGCCUGUUUACCAAAAACAUCGCCUCUUGAACAAAUAUAAGAGGUCCAGCCUGCCCAGUGACUCUGUUCAACGGCCGCGGUAUCCUAACCGUGCAAAGGUAGCGUAAUCACUUGUCCUUUAAAUGGGGACUGGUAUGAACGGCAUCACGAAGGUUAUACUGUCUCCUUUCCCCAAUCAGUGAAACUGAUCUCCCCGUGAAGAAGCGGGGAUACACAUAUAAGAAGAGAAGACCCUAUGGAGCUUUAAACGAAACAACAAUCGCUACCUCAUUUAAAUUCCAGAAUACUUACUUCUACCCUGGCGAUAUGACUGUUAGUUUUAGGUUGGGGUGACCACGGAGAACAAACUAACCUCCGUAUUGGAUGGGGACUCCCCUAAGCAAAAAGCCACGACUUUAUGCAUCAACAAAUUGACAUCAAUUGACCCAAUAUUUUGACCAACGGACCAAGUUACCCUAGGGAUAACAGCGCAAUCCAUUUUGAAAGCCCCUAUCGACAAAUGGGUUUACGACCUCGAUGUUGGAUCAGGGUAUCCCAGUGGUGCAGCCGCUACUAAAGGUUCGUUUGUUCAACGACUAAGACCCUACGUGA